AAUCACAAAUUUUAUUUUUAAGAAAAUUUUUCAUUUUCUCUGUGCGCUAUUAUUGCACCUUGUUUUCUGAACAACUUUACUUAAAAGAACUCUCUUUCUCCUUGCUCUUUCCAUCUUCUACCUCUACUCACCGCAUGUUCAUUAAUCUAGUUUUUUCUCUGCAUGUUCAUCAAUCUAGUUUUUUCUGCAACUUUCAGGUUUGCCCAAAAAAUGGUGAGGAGAAAAGUGGUUGCCAUUGACAAACACAUUGGAACCUCCAACGAAGCUUUUCUGACUUCCAGUCAUUUUCAAAAACAUGAUUUAUAUACUUGGGUAGCUGAGGAAGUUAAAAAUAGUCUUUGCCAUAUUAAUCAUCAUGCUAAAAAUGUUCUGGAUUGGAUGUGGAUGUAUGAAACUUUAUUUACAUGUCUCGAAGUUCGAAUUUUCUUUUCUGAUUUUCAACAAGAUGUCUUGAAGUUGUGUGGAUGUGCCCCUUCUCAGCCGCAUCCUAAUACUUGGGCUAUCAUUUGAGGGUUUGAACUAUUAUGUUCAUUCCUCGAGUUUCCCAUCUCCACCAGAGUAUUUUUUUACUUUUUUAACUUUGCUAUUUCUUUUGGUGCUUGUGGUCAAGGUUUUCUAUCUUUCCAAGCUAACCACAAUCAUAGAAUUUUCAACCUUUUUGAAGAAUCGUACCAUGGUUUUAAAGAAAAAUAUUUUAAAGUUGAAAGGGUCUCUGGGUCUCAACCUUUUUUCAUGAUUUUGGAGGAUGAAAAAAAUUUUAACCUUUAUUGGAACUUUCACGUUGCUUCUCCAAAGAUUGAACUGAAAGGUGUGAGCCCAAUAGAGCGUGACAUCGUUCAUCUCUUCUUGGUUUAUGGAAUGAUAACCCUUUGGAUUUGAGGAUGAUCCUUGCUGAUGUGCAAGCUUCUAAAAAUAUUGUUGUUAAAAUGGCUGGCGAAACUGAGGCCAUUACUGCUAUGAGGCAAAGGUUGGGUACUAACACUGUCCAGACAAACACUGAAGGUAGGGAUAUGAUUUCUUCUUCAACUAUCCAUAGCAAUCUUUCACCUCCAGAACCUCAUAAAUCAACCAUUGAUAUCGAAAUCUUUGAUGCCCAUCCUCCUUCGAGCUCUCUAGUGAGAAAGAAACAAAAGAGCAAGGGCAAAAGGCUUAUGAAAUCAAUAACCACUCAAGCGGAAGAUCUAAGUUCCUAUGGUUGUGUCUUGAAAAAAGAUUUCCGCUACUGCGACUUUGUUGAUUCUUUCUUAUUGACCGAGGAGACCAAGUCAAAGUUAGUUGAGAUGCCUGUGGAAGACACCUUACCUUAAAUUCAAAAGAUGCUCCUUCGCUCAGCUGCCUUCGUUCGGGAUGUAGAGAAGGAGAUCCCGAGCUUCCGUUCUAAAAUUGCAUCAAAAGAAAAAGAGCUUCAAACUUCUGCUACUCAAAUUCAAAUUUUGAAUGCUACCUUAGCCUCGUUACAAGAAGAUAAUAGAAAACUCCAAGAAAGUGUUAAAUCUUUGGAAGAUGAUAAGAAGACUUCAGUAUCUUGAGUUAAGAAUUUGAUGAAAAAGGUUGUUGAGAUGGAGAAGAAUAACUCUACACUUUCCAAGACUGCUGAGAAUGCUGAACGAGCUGCUAUUUAUGGUAUUUUCGAUGCUGAGAAGAACAUCUUCAACUAGAUCAAGCUUUUGGCUCCUGAGUUGGAUAUCUCCUCAGUUAGCGCUUUCAAGAAGGUCAUGGAUGGGCAAGUAGUAGAUAUUAUGUACUAAUUUUUUUUGCAUUUUGCAAUGUAUUUCUCUCCUUUCAAGGUAUUUUCCACUUUAACUUUGUGUUGGUUAAGCUUAUGUAACUGCCCUUUAAUUCUAGACUUUCAAUCUCAUAUGACCAUUUUGAAUAA